rnacentral:rRNA from 1 species
UACGUAGGGGGCAAGCGUUGCCCGGAGUUACUGGGCGUAAAGCGCACGCAGGCGGUCUCUUAAGUUUGGAGUGACAGUUGGUGGCUUAACUGCCAAAGUGCUUCGAAAACUGAGAGACUUGAGGGCUUCAGAGGGACACGGAAUUCCGGGUGGAGUGGUGAAAUGCGUAGAGAUCCGGAGGAACACCAAAGGCGAAGGCAGUGUCCUGGGGAGUACCUGACGCUCAGGUGCGAAAGCCAGGGGAGCGAACGGG